rnacentral:rRNA from 1 species
CCUACGGGAGGCAGCAGUGGGGAAUCUUGCGCAAUGGGCGAAAGCCUGACGCAGCAACGCCGCGUGCGGGAAGAAGGCUUUCGGGCUGUAAACCGCUUUCAGCAGGAACGAAAAUGACGGUACCUGCAGAAGAAGGAGCGGCCAACUAUGUGCCAGCAGCCGCGGUGAUACAUAGGCUUCAAGCGUUGUCCGGAUUUAUUGGGCGUAAAGAGUUCGUAGGCGGUCGAGUAAGUCGGGUGUGAAAAUUCUGGGCUCAACCCAGAGACGCCACCCGAUACUGCUUGACUUGAGUUCGAUAGGGGAGUGGGGAAUUCCUAGUGUAGCGGUGAAAUGCGCAGAUAUUAGGAGGAACACCGGUGGCGAAGGCGCCACUCUGGAUCGAUACUGACGCUGAGGAACGAAAGCAUGGGUAGCAAACAGGAUUAGAUACCCUGGUAGUCCAUGCCGUAAACGGUGGGCACUAGGUGUGGGUUUCUAUUAACGAAAUCCGCGCCGUCGCUAACGCAUUAAGUGCCCCGCCUGGGGAGUACGGUCGCAAGACUAAAAACUCAAAAGAUAGUACGACGUGAGAGAGCGACGACGACACAGGAGGUAGAG